GAUGAACGCUAGCUACAGGCUUAACACAUGCAAGUCGAGGGGUAACGAGAGGAAAGCUUGCUUUCCUUGUCGACGACCGGCGCACGGGUGAGUAACGCGUAUCCAACCUGCCCCCAACUAAGGAAUAACCUUGCGAAAGUAAGACUAAUACCCUAUAAUUUCCUCAGAUGACAUCUGACGAGGAAUAAAGAUUUAUCGGUUGUGGAUGGGGAUGCGUCUGAUUAGCUUGUUGGCGGGGUAACGGCCCACCAAGGCAACGAUCAGUAGGGGUUCUGAGAGGAAGGUCCCCCACAUUGGAAAUGAGACCCGGUCCAAACUCCUACGGGAGGCAGCAGUGAGGAAUAUUGGUCAAUGGGCGGAAGCCUGAACCAGCCAAGUAGCGUGCAGGAUGACGGCCCUAUGGGUUGUAAACUGCUUUUAUACAGGAAUAAAGUUAGCCACGUGUGGUUAUUUGUAGGUACUGUAUGAAUAAGGACCGGCUAAUUCCGUGCCAGCCGCCGCUGUAA
rnacentral:rRNA from 1 species